CCUUGUACACACCGCCCGUCACACCAUGGGAGUUGGUUGCACCAGAAGUAGUUAGCCUAACCGCAAGGGGGGCGAUUACCACGGUGUGGUCAAUGACUGGGGUG
rnacentral:rRNA from 1 species